UACGUAGGGAGCAAGCGUUGUCCGGAUUUACUGGGUGUAAAGGGCGUGUAGCCGGGUUGACAAGUCAGAUGUGAAAUCCUGCGGCUUAACCGCAGAACUGCAUUUGAAACUGUUGAUCUUGAGUACUGGAGAGGCAGACGGAAUUCCUAGUGUAGCGGUGAAAUGCGUAGAUAUUAGGAGGAACACCAGAGGCGAAGGCGGCUAACUGGACUGCAACUGACGCUGAGGCACGAAAGUGUGGGGAGCAAACAGG
rnacentral:rRNA from 1 species